CAGGGGUGUGCGGAAAGUCCCAGCCAGGGUUUCAGAAGCUGCCAGAGGAGGAGCCAGAAACAGAUCUCAGCCCCGGGCUCCCAGCUGCCCACCUCAUAGGCGCUCCGCUGAAGGGGCAGGGGCUAGGCUGGGAGACGACGAAGGAACAGGCGUUUCUGACGAGCGGGACGCAGUUCUCGGACGCCGAGGGGCUGGCGCUCCCGCAGGACGGCCUCUAUUACCUCUACUGUCUCGUCGGCUACCGGGGCCGGACGCCCCCUGGCGGCGGGGACCCCCAGGGCCGCUCGGUCACGCUGCGCAGCUCUCUGUACCGGGCGGGGGGCGCCUACGGGCCGGGCACUCCCGAGCUGCUGCUCGAGGGCGCCGAGACGGUGACUCCAGUGCUGGACCCGGCCAGGAGACAAGGGUACGGGCCUCUCUGGUACACGAGCGUGGGGUUCGGCGGCCUGGUGCAGCUCCGGAGGGGCGAGAGGGUGUACGUCAACAUCAGUCACCCCGAUAUGGUGGACUUCGCGAGAGGGAAGACCUUCUUUGGGGCCGUGAUGGUGGGGUGAGGGAAUAUGAGUGCGUGGUGCGAGUGCGUGAAUAUUGGGGGCCCGGACGCCCAGGACCCCAUGGCAGUGGGAAAAAUGUAGGAGACUGUUUGGAAAUUGAUUUUGAGCCUGAUGAAAAUAAAGAAUGGAAAGCUUCAGUGCUGCCGAUAAAGAUGCUGAGUUGCGACACACGUCUUAAUUCAGG
rnacentral:sRNA from 1 species